CUGCUGCAGCCCCUGCCUUACAAGAGGGAAAGGCCAGUUCUUGUCCUGGGAAGAUCUACUGAGCUCAGACAUCCUUCAUGGCUUCACUGGGACCAUUCAUCUCCACCGUCUGAAUCAACACUCAGCGGCCACAUGCAAGCAAUCGGUGAUCAGUUGAUAAGGCCAGGCCUGCCAUGUGUUCAUGUGUAAACAUGGGUUCCCUGGCUGGACGGCAGAAGUUGCAAUGGGGCAUGAAGGUGAAAGAUGAACAAGCUGAAUUCGUUCCUGGCUACAUCCACUUCCAGGUGUUUAAUCAUGAGAAGGCUGCCAUGGCUCUGUGUGCUGGGGUGAAAGUCACUGGCUGUAACACUGAGCAUGUGAGUAUCUGGCCGGAGAGGGGAGAGGGUUGGAGUAGGGACAAGCCGAGAGCUGGA